rnacentral:rRNA from 1 species
CCCUUAGAUGUUCUGGGCCGCACGCGCGCUACACUGACUGGUGCAACAAGUGUCUGACCUUGGCUCGAGAGGCCUGGGCAACCUUUGAACGCCAGUCGUGCUGGGGAUAGAUUCUUGCAAUUAUUAAUCUUCAACGAGGAAUGCCUAGUAAGCGCAAGUCAUCAGCUUGCGUUGAUUACGUCCCUGCCCUUUGUACACACCGCCCGUCGCUCCUACCGAUUGAAUGGUCCGGUGAAGCGUUCGGACCGUGGCCUUUGGACGGUUCGCCGUCUGUUGGCUGCGGGAAGUUCGUUAAACCUUAUCAUUUAGAGGAAGGAGAAGUCGUAACA